rnacentral:rRNA from 1 species
UACAGAGGGUGCGAGCGUUAAUCGGAAUUACUGGGCGUAAAGCGCACGUAGGUGGCGACGUAAGUCGGGUGUGAAAGCCCCGGGCUCAACCUGGGAAUUGCAUCCGAGACUGCAUUGCUAGAGUAUGGGAGAGGAAAGCGGAAUUUCUGGUGUAGCAGUGAAAUGCGUAGAUAUCAGAAGGAACAUCAGUGGCGAAGGCGGUGCUCUGGGCCGGAACUGACGCUGAGGAGCGAAAGCGUGGGGAGCAAACAGG